rnacentral:rRNA from 1 species
UACGUAGGGUGCAAGCGUUAAUCGGAAUUACUGGGCGUAAAGCGUGCGCAGGCGGUUAUGCAAGACAGAGGUGAAAUCCCCGGGCUUAACCUGGGAAUGGCAUUGGUGACUGCACGGCUAGAGUGUGUCAGAGGGGGGUAGAAUUCCACGUGUAGCAGUGAAAUGCGUAGAUAUGCGGAGGAACACCAAUGGCGAAGGCAAUCCCCUGGGCCUGUACUGACGCUCAUGCACGAAAGCGUGGGGAGCAAACAGG